AAUUUCAUUUACAAAUUUGAAAAUAUAUUUUUUUUGAAAAUGAACAUUGUGCACAAUUUCUAUACCACUUGAUUAAAAAAAUGUAAAUGGAUUAAAGAAGAUACUUAAUCAAAGCUAGAGAUGGCAGAGUCUUGUGAUAAUGAGAUUUUCCGUAAAGCCAUAAUUAAGAAUUAUGUGGCACUCAAGAAGUAUUUGCAUCCUGAUCCUAUAAUUGAUUGUGAUACAGGCUUUGAAUUACUUACCGUCGCAGACAGAAAGAAUAUCAAGGGUAAGGAUCCAACUGAUAAGAAUCACACGAUAUUGAAAAACGUAAUAGGCAAAGGUGCUAAAGGUUACACAGAUUUUAAAGAGCGCCUGAGAAAGACCUGGCAGACUGACUUAUUAGAGCUUAUAGUUUGUGCAGAGAAUGGACGGGACACAGAAGAGAUAAAGAGUCGGCUUGAGAAAACCGCAUUGUUAAGUCCAGAGUAUAUCAAACACAGAGGUGGUAAGUCAAUUGUUUUACGCUCACAGUGUUCAUGACUGCAAGCUGUCAGUUGUUAGCAGUCUGUCAGUCUUCGUCAAUAUAUGUCUUCCUAAAAAUGUCAACCUUAAAUUAUCGAUAAAUAUCAAUUUUUACAAAAAUAUUUAAAAGUAGCCUUCUACAAUAUUUUCCCCUGUUGAUAAUUGCCUCCUACCUAAACAUGUUUUCUGAGUGUGAACUAUAAAUUAUUUAGUUUUUCAUUUAUAAUCUCCUGGUAGUAACUCAAAGACAUCACUGCCAUCUUAUUAUCUAUUUUAUAUAUUUUACUACACAAACUACAUAUAUCUAUACGAUUAUCCGAUUGGCUUGAUUUAUGUUAAAAUAAAACAACAUAGAUGGCAGAUUUGUCAAUCUGAAAUCCCCGCACAUGUUUUUAUCAUAUAUCAAGAAAACGUAAAAUAAUCCAUUUUGAAAACAAAAAUCAUAUUUUAACGUGUAUUAUCAUAUUAACAUGUAUUAUAGAAGACCCCAAUUAGUCACACAGUUACAGUUCAUGUUUUAAACAUAUAGAACCUAUUGUUGCACUCGCUACGCUACAAGGCAAUAAAUUCAAUAACUAUAACUCAUUUUCAGCGCGUUACAUUUUAAUGAUUACGUCAAAUGUUGAAUGUUAACGUCACGUGUCUAAAUAGAGAAUCUCAACAGUGAGUUUAUUGCAUAAUAACAAACCCUUUUGGUCCUUCUAUGUUCAACAGGGAAAAUUGUGGGUCGUCUUAGAAUCUGUAAUGACUAAGCACUGCUGUUGGAAUCGGCAUACAUGUUUCAUCAUUAGAAAUUAAUUGUUCAUGUGACGGUGUUCCGCUAGAGCUGAGAACGUCAUGAAUUUCUAUGGUGACAGUACGGCUUUACAAUAGUGACAGUAUGACAGUACAAUGGCGAAGCAUCAUGUUAUGUGGUGAUCUUACUGUCGUUCUUCGCCACCAUACUGUCGUAUUGUCAAUAUUGUACUGUCGUACUGUCACUUCCUGUUGUAUUGUCGUCUUCCUGUUAAGUAUGCGCAUAAUAAGAUAUUAACAUGGAUGUAAAAUUUAUCAUGCCAUAUAAGGUCACACUUUAACAAUGCCCUCUCAUAAAAGGAAAAACUUGUACUGAUGUAAAAAAAAAUGGUGAAGCGCGACAGUGCGAUCGUGUUAGAACGACAGUACAAUGGUGUCAGAACGACACAAUUAUGUUGUAAGAAGGACAAAACGAUGGCAUCAGAACGACAGUGCGAUGGUGGGGAGGGACAGUACGAUGGGGACAGUACAAUAGUGACAGUACAUCGGUGACCGUACGAGGGUAACAGUACGAUUAUGACAACACGACAGUACGUUGGACUGUCGUCAUCAUACUGUCGUAUUGUCACCAUCGUACUGUCGUGCUAUGACAUUGUACUAACUUAUCUCGGAUAAAGCACCCUAACCCUUAUGGAACCCUUACCCUUAUGGAACACCGUAGUUUACCGUCAAUACAUUUUAUUUGAUCUAAUAAUCCAGUUUAAAAAAACUCACUGCCAUAUUUAGCGUUUUUGAUUUUGUUUAGCGUUGAAACUGCGAUUGCAAUAUUUAGCGUUUAUUGCGACAUUAGGCGACAGUCUAUGAAAUAUAUGAAAUAUACAUAUGAAAAAAGGCGGAGUCAAUAUUAAUAAUUAUUCGUAAGGAUUACUUGCUAAGGUAUUUCCUCUGAUGCUAAGUAGCUUCAGGUAUUCUAUUAAUUAUGACAUAUUCAAAUAAUAUUUCGCAUCAUAGACGGCGGUGAUAAAUUGUGUAUUGAAUUGUAUUACAUAUAUAAUAAAUAUAUUACUGCGCGCUGUUCAAAUGUUUUAAUGUACAAAGAAAGAGUGUUUGUAAACAUUAUUUUUGUGCUGCAAAAAUAAGAUAAAAAGUGUUAUUUUAACGUUUUCAUGAAAUAUGGAGUACAUUUUUACUCAACAUGAUAAUAUUCAAUUUAUAGUACUCUCUUAAAUAAAUUGUAAUUUAAUUAAUUACAGAUGCAAGUUUGAGUUAUCAAUCAUAAUCAAUUAAAAUAAAAUCUGAAAGUAAUUGUAAUUCAAUCAAUUACUGAUCAAUGUAAUCCCCGGGUCUGCUUUGUGAUUAAUUCAUCAAAGGAUUGCAGACGCGCUGUAUACAUAUUUUGAUUAUAGGUAUAGGGCAUAUUCGCCAGUGUAUGCAUAUUGCUUUGUUUGAUUGUUAUUGUCAAAUGCAUUUCCCAAUUUAAUGUAUUUGAGUGUAUUCCCUCUGCUUGUUGCAAAUAUCUUGCAGCAUUUGCAACUCAAUGUAUGUUAAUCAUACAAUUUUUUAGUGUCAAAGGAAAAUGAAUAUUCGGUUGUAAAUAGGUUGUACAUAACCUUGAAAUGUUGUUGCUUAGAAGUUCUCACUCUUUUUGACGUGGUUCUAUUAACUUUAUUGGCAGAACGAUGUUGACAGUACUACAGUAUGAUGGUAACAGUACGAUAGUACGAUGGUGACAGUACAACUGUAUGGUGGUGACAGUAAGACUGCACGAUGGUGACAGUACAACAGUACGAUGGUGACUGACAGUACGACAGUACGACGGUGACAGUACGACGGUGAAAGUACGGCAGUACGAUAUUGACAGUACGUAUGUAAGGUGGUGAAAGCAAGAGAGUACGAUGGUGACAAUAAAACAAUACGAUGGUGCCAGUACCAUAGUGACAGUACGGCAUUUCGAUGGUGACAGGACGAAUAUAUGGUGGUGACAAUACAAUAGUACGAUGGUGACAGUACGAUAGUACGAUGGUGACAGUACAACUGUAUGGUGGUGACAGUAAGACUGUACGAUGAUGACAGUACAACAGUACGAUGGUGACUGACAGAACGACAGUACGAUGGUGACAAAACGACGGUGACAGUACGGCAGUACGACUGUGACAGUACGUAUGUAAGGUGGUGAAAGCAAAAGAAUACGAUGGUGACAGUUAAACAAUACGAUGGUGCCAGUACCAUUGUGGCAGUACGGCAUUUCGAUGGUAACAGUACGAAUGUAUGGUGGUGACAAUAAAAUAGGUCGAUGGUGACAGUACGUCAGUAUGAUGGUGACAGUACGACAGUACGAUGAUGACAGUACGGCAGUACAAUGGUGACAGUACAACAGUACGAUGGUGACAGUACGGCAGUACGAUGGUCACAGUAGGACAGUACGAUGGUGACAGUGACAAUACGGCUUUGUGAUGGUGACAAUACGACAGUACGAUGGUGACAGCACGACAGAACGAUGGUGACAGUACGGCAGUACGAUGGUGAUAGUACAAAUGCAUGUUGGUGACAGUACAUCAGACGAUGGUGUCAGUACGAUGGUGACAGUACGGCAGUGCGAUGGUGACAGUACAAUGGUGACAGUACGACAGUACGAUGGUAACAGUGACAGAACAAUUGUAUGGUGUUGACAAUACGACAUCACGUUGGUGACAGCACGACAGUACGAUGUUGACAGUUCGAUGGGCGACAGUACGGCAGUACGAUGGUGACAGUACGAAUGCAUGGUCGUGACAGUACAACAGUACGAUGUUGACAGUUCGAUGGCGACAGUACGGCAGUACGAUGGUGACAGUACGAAUGCAUGGUCGUGACAGUACAACAGUACGAUGGUGACAGUACGACAGUACGAUGGUUACAAUACGACAGUACGAUAGUGACAGUCCGACAGUACGAUGGUGACAGUGACAGUACGACUGUAUAAUGAUGACAUUACGACAGUACGGAGGUAACAGCACGACAGUACGAUGGUGACAGUACGAUGGUGACAGUACUAUUAGGUCAAUCACGGACUUGCAUUGACUUGACAUUAAAGUAUGUACGACAAAUUACAGUAGAAAUUAGAUUAUAACAAACUAUUUUUGAUAAUUACCUUAUAUAUUACCUGAAUAUCGGGUUAUGAAAACUACGUACUUUAUUAAAGGUGAAUUUAUUUCUGAUAGAACUAUCCGAUAACUUGUAAUAAUAAAUGGCCGAAUAUCAUCCUUAAAAGUAUUAAUGUAGACAUAUUUAUCAACAAUGUAAUGUUGUUGUUGCCGACAGUGCUGGUGCUUCAUGCAAGCGGUUGGUGUUCAUUUGAAAGUUUACCCGUGAGAAACCUAGCUUAGAUUUAUUUUCUUUACUGAGGCACUUGAACAUUAUUCUCAAUUAUAUAGGCACUAUGCAUAAGUUAUAAUUUCUUGACAUUUUUAUUAUUUCCUUCAUUCCGUCAAGAAAGAUUGAUUUGCCUAGAAAAAUUGAAAAGUUUCGGUCCACAGACCACAAUAUUAUAGUAUAAUCUUAUAGUAUAUGUUAUUUGUAUACAUGAUUGUAUGAAAACGAUUUGCGAUAUGGCCUGUGUCUGUGAAUCCGUCAAAGAAGCUAUAAUAGAUCUAUAAACAAAUAACCAGAUUUCUACCGUUGAUCUUCGUUAUUUCACCCAUUUUUCCGAGAGUUUCGAUUCACAAUAUAAAAUCAUAAAUGACAUAAACUUAUUGUUCAGAUGGGAGAAUUUAAUCACUAAAAAAGAAAUAUUUAUUUCGCCAAGACUUUAGUAAUUACUUUUUACUGUAAAACACGGAAAGCACCGAAGGUCAAAUUUUUUCUUCCACAGUUAUCUCCCGUAUAUAAUAAUUUGGGCUAGAAUCUUAAAUUCUUAACUGGUUCCUUACGAAGUUUACAUUAAAUUGUGAUUUUAACAACCGAUUGACGAUUAUACUAAGUUUAGGCAUCAUGAUUAUAUUCCUCUAUUUCUGAACCUUAAACAUAUUUUUCUAUCGUUAAUGUUGUUCAUGGUUACUUUCUGGAAUAUUCAAGUUAAACAGCAGCAAUGUGGCAGCAAUCAAAAAUAUUGUUAAACAAUAAGAUGAUACAUACAAAUUAAGAAACAUAAAAGACAUAUUAGUAGUUGUUAAGUAUUAAUGAUAAAAAUUUCAAGAUCACAAAGGUACAAAAAUGGUAAACCACGGAUUCUAAAUACGCAAAUAAGAUUUUUGUUACAGUGAGUCUAAUAUGGGAAUUAAUGAAUUGUAACAAUAGCAACAGAAAACACGUAAAACCAAUGACUUAUAAAAAUAAUAUAUACGAUUAAAUAAAAUUGUCAAUAACUAGGAUGCAUAUAAAAGUCGAUUAUAUAAAGUUGUGGCAAGUUGGAUAUAACGGUAUGUAUAGCUUCUGUUGACAAGUUGGAUAAAACAAUACGUAUAACUUCUGUUGGCAAGUUGGAUAUAACAGUAUGUAUAGCUUCUGUUGGCAUUUAGUUGUAUAAAUCAGUACGUAUAGUUUCUGUCGGCAAGUUGGAUAUAACAGUACGUAUAGUUUCUGUUGGUAGGUUUGAUAUAACAGAACGUAUAUAUAGCUUCUGUUGGCAAGUUGGAUAAAGCAGUAUGUAUAGCUUCUGGUGGCAAGUUGGAUAAGCAGUACGUAUAGUUUCUGUCGGCAAGUUGGACAUAACAGUACGCAUAGCUUCUGUUGGUAGGUUUGAUAUAACAGAACGUAUAGCUUCUGAUGGCAAGUUGGAUAAAGCAGUAUGUAAAACUUCUGCUGGCAAGUUGGAUAAAGCAGUAUGUAUAAUUUCUGUUGGCAAGUUUGAUAUAACAGUAUGUAUAGCGUCUGUGGGCAAGUUUGAUAAAGCAGUAUAUAUAGUUUCUGUUGGCAAGUUGGAUAUAACAGUAUGUAUAG